rnacentral:rRNA from 1 species
GAUGAACGCUGGCGGCGUGCCUAAUACAUGCAAGUCGAGCGAACGGACGAGAAGCUUGCUUCUCUGAUGUUAGCGGCGGACGGGUGAGUAACACGUGGAUAACCUACCUAUAAGACUGGGAUAACUUCGGGAAACCGUAGCUAAUACCGGAUAAUAUUUUGAACCGCAUGGUUCAAAAGUGAAAGACGGUCUUGCUGUCACUUAUAGAUGGAUCCGCGCUGCAUUAGCUAGUUGGUAAGGUAACGGCUUACCAAGGCAACGAUGCAUAGCCGACCUGAGAGGGUGAGCGGCCACACUGGAACGGAGACACGGUCCAGACUCCUACGGGAGGCAGCAGUAGGGAAUCUUCCGCAAUGGGCGAAAGCCUGACGGAGCAACGCCGCGUGAGUGAUGAAGGUCUUCGGAUCGUAUAACUCUGUUAUUAGGGAAGAACAUAUGUGUAAGUAACUGUGCACAUCUUGACGGUACCUAAUCAGAAAGCCACGGCUAACUACGUG